AAAAAAGAAACAGGAGAAAUCGUUCUCGGUUCCCACUUGCCAGUGAUUUUUUUUUUUUUUUUUUUUUUUUGGAACAGAAUUUGCCAGUGAGUUAACAUCUCGAAAUUGCAUUGAAUUAUGGUUUGUAUGAAAAGUUAGGAGGAUGCCAUUACGAAUUCAAUCAGGAUAGUAAAUAGUCAAUACUCAAUAGUGAGGAGGAGGAUCAAGGAUCGAAUUCAUUCCCACAAGAGAGAGAAUAGAUGGGUUGGGGUUGGGCAAUCUACGAAGGAGUGGUGGCGUUGGGAUCGCUAGGGCUGCUGGGAUGGGCGGGGCUGUGGUUCUUGAACCGAAGGCUCUACAAAGAGUACGAAGAGAAGAGGGUCUUAGUUCAGAUCAUCUUCAGCGUCGUCUUCGCCUUCUCCUGCAAUCUUCUGCAGCUCGUCCUCUUCGAGAUCAUCCCCCUUCUCUCCCAAAGGGCCCGAUGGCUCAACUGGAAGCUGGAUUUGUUUUGUCUCAUACUGUUACUGGUUUUCAUGUUGCCUUAUUAUCAUUGUUUCUUGAUGCUCUGCAACAAUGGGUUCCGGAAGGAACGCGCUGCUUUUGGAUCCUUCUUGUUCUUGCUAGCCUUCCUUUAUGCUUUUUGGCGCAUGGGCAUUCACUUCCCUAUGCCUUCCCCUGAUAAAGGCUUCUUCACCAUGCCUCAGUUGGUCAGUCGCAUUGGAGUCAUUGGCGUUACUGUCAUGGCUGUCUUGUCUGGUUUUGGAGCUGUCAAUUUACCCUAUAGUUACUUAUCUCUCUUUAUCCGAGAAAUUGAGGAAACUGAGAUCAAGUCCUUGGAAAGACAGCUCAUGCAAUCCAUCGAGACUUGUAUUGCUAAGAAGAAGAAAAUCAUUCUUUCUCAAAUGGAGAUGGAACGCAUUCAAGGAUCAGAAGAGAAAUUAAAAGCUAGAUCUUUCUUUAAAAGAAUUGUUGGCACUGUUGUGCGAUCUGUGCAAGACGAUCAAAAGGAGCAAGAUAUCAGAAACAUGGAAGCAGAAGUGCUAGCAUUGGAAGAGCUUUCAAAGCAGCUAUUCCUAGAAAUAUACGAGCUUCGUCAAGCAAAGGAGGCUGCUGCUUAUUCUCGAACCUGGAGGGGUCAUAUGCAGAACCUACUAGGUUAUGCAUGUUCAAUCUACUGUGUAUAUAAAAUGAUUAAGUCUUUGCAAAGUGUAGUUUUCAAAGAGGCUGGCUCUGUGGAUCCUGUGACGAUGACAAUUAGCAUAUUCUUGCAGUUCUUUGACAUUGGUAUCAAUGCAGCAUUGCUAUCACAGUAUAUUUCACUCUUGUUCAUUGGAAUGUUGAUUGUUAUAUCAGUUCGUGGAUUCUUGACUAAUUUAAUGAAGUUCUUUUUUGCAGUUUCCAGAGUUGGAAGUGGAUCUUCUAGCAAUGUUGUAUUGUUUCUGUCUGAAAUUAUGGGAAUGUACUUUGUGUCCUCUAUUCUAUUGAUAAGGAAAAGCUUGGCAACUGAGUACAGGAUGAUCAUAACAGACGUAUUGGGUGGAGAUAUUCAGUUUGACUUCUAUCACCGGUGGUUUGAUGCAAUCUUUGUGGCCAGUGCUUUCCUUUCUUUGCUUUUGCUUUCUGCACAUUAUACUUCUCGGCAAGCUGACAAACACCCGAUUGAUUAAUGGCAACAGGUGCUAAAUGGUAUGUUGGAGCUAACACUUCUUACAUGAUCAACCAAAGGAUGAGGAAUCCGAAUGUAUUACAUCCAACGGUCGGCCAAAUUUUUAGGUUUUUUUUUUUUUUUUUUUUUUUGCACGUGUAUUGAUUGAUGAUCUUGUCAUGUGGAUGGCGAGGAUGGUUUUACACGAACGGGCCGAAGGGCUGCAGCGCUGCGUUGUAUUGUAAGCUGAGACUGGGAAGGAGGAAGGAAAUGAACGGGUCCUGAUUCCCGAUCUCUUCUUCGCUGUGACUUUGCGAUUUGAAAUUGGUGUCGAGUCCAAGCGGUCGAAGAAGAGUGAAGAGGCAAAGAUCACCAACUGUGGGAAAGGUUGGUGUGGCCAACGCCGGCAACAAGGCUUCGAAGGGAUCGCUGUAUCCUCACUGUUCUCCGCUCUCUUCACCUUCUCUCUGUCCUCUCUCUCUCCUCCCGUUCGCUUCUCUCUCAUCGGACACCAAAAUAACCAUGUUUAAUUCAAAUUGAUGUUGGUGAUCACUAGAUUC